CCUACGGGUGGCAGCAGUGGGGAAUAUUGGACAAUGGGCGCAAGCCUGAUCCAGCCAUGCCGCGUGAGUGAUGAAGGCCCUAGGGUUGUAAAGCUCUUUCAGUGGGGAAGAUAAUGACGGUACCCACAGAAGAAGCCCCGGCUAACUUCGUGCCAGCAGCCGCGGUAAUACGAAGGGGGCUAGCGUUGUUCGGAUUUACUGGGCGUAAAGCGCACGUAGGCGGAGCGUUAAGUCAGGGGUGAAAUCCCGCAGCUCAACUGCGGAACUGCCUUUGAUACUGGCGCUCUUGAGUCCGGAAGAGGUGAGUGGAACUCCGAGUGUAGAGGUGGAAUUCGUAGAUAUUCGGAAGAACACCAGUGGCGAAGGCGGCUCACUGGUCCGGUACUGACGCUGAGGUGCGAAAGCGUGGGGAGCAAACAGGAUUAGAUACCCGAGUAGUC
rnacentral:rRNA from 1 species